CUUUGGCUAUCUGGGAACUGAAAAUAAAGCAAAGUAUUCUGGUUUUGUCUAUUACAAUACUGUUCCUCUAGUUGUACUUGAAUUGAACUGAAGAUUAGGUACUUCCAUCAGAAAAAGCUUAUUUGAUAGACAUCAUGACAGUAAGGCUGGGAGAGGUUUCAUCCUACGUUUAAAGGUCAAUUGUGUGGUCUUGGUGUGCUUUAUGUCACAGAGAAGUAUGCAGAUAAAGUACAUGUUUAAUAUUCAAGGGAUCUGAUGUUGAUACAAAAAGGCAUGGGGAGAAGACUGCAGUCCUGUCCUUUAUUUGAAGAAAGCUGUCUCAGGAGUAUAGAAAAUUUGAUCUAGCAUAUCUCCUUCAGCACUUAAAUGGAGGUGGCCUAGUGCAUGGCAAUAGAGAGGUACAGUUCCAUGGCUAUACUCAAGAGUCUUAAAAUGGUCUUCUCAAAGGCCAGACCCCGACACAGCUGAUCCUGUGUAACUUGGAAUAGUUGCCAUAAGCAUUCCAAAUUGCAAAGGAGGCCCAGCUGGAUGGCUAAAACCCCCUGAUUGUUCAUGACCUUGUAGUGGUUCCCAUUCUUGACAUUCCUCCCUUCUUGGAUUAACAUUGUCCUGAGAAAGCACCUCACCUCCAAAGAAUGAAAGCAAAGGUAUCGUAAAACAGCCAUCUUCUGCACUGUGGCUACCAUCACCCAUAUUGUUGAGCCUGGCAGUGGGAUCAGCCCACAAGCCCA